UACGGAGGAUCCAAGCGUUAUCCGGAUUCAUUGGGUUUAAAGGGUGCGUAGGCGGAAUGAUAAGUCAGCGGUGAAAUCCCUCGGCUUAACCGAGGAACUGCCGUUGAUACUGUCAAUCUUGAGUACAUUUGAUGUGGGCGGAAUGUGUCAUGUAGCGGUGAAAUGCUUAGAUAUGACACAGAACACCGAUUGCGAAGGCAGCUCACAAAACUGUAACUGACGCUGAGGCACGGAAAGCGUGGGUAUCAAACAGG
rnacentral:rRNA from 1 species